rnacentral:rRNA from 1 species
UACGUAGGGAGCAAGCGUUGUCCGGAAUCAUUGGGCGUAAAGCGCGUGUAGGCGGUCCGGUAAGUCCGCUGUGAAAGUCGGGGGCUCAACCCUCGGAUGCCGGUGGAUACUGUCGGGCUUGAGUACGGAAGAGGCGAGUGGAAUUCCUGGUGUAGCGGUGAAAUGCGCAGAUAUCAGGAGGAACACCAAUUGCGAAGGCAGCUCGCUGGGACGUUACUGACGCUGAGACGCGAAAGCGUGGGGAGCGAACAGG